GCUGGGGACACAGCGCGGUUUGUCCCGGUGUCUCUGAGCCGCCCAAGGCCAAUGCUGGUCAGGUUCGUCAGGAUGAAACCUGAGAGCUUGACGAUUCCGGUAAAAUACUCGCAGCACUUAAAAUGAAUGUUCACGGAAACAGGUGCUGUCGCAGUCCCGUGCAGAAGGGGUCCACUGUGCUGAGAUGAUGACCCAUCCACACAGACAAUCUCAGGACUAUGGAGUGAUGAUCCCCGUGAAACACAACCACCUGGAGCCACAGAUGGUCAUCUUCGAAGAAACACCAGGAGUCUGAGUGUAAGCACAAAGCUGUGAAGACUGGAUCCUGAGUGAAGAGCAAAGGGGAGAUUCCUGAGCAUCAGGCUUGGCAGUGUGUGCGCCCCCUGCAGGUGGACACAGGAGCCUGGUCUCUGUGGAAGUCUGUGUGGUGGUUGCCAGCCAGAGCCUCUGCUUUAAAGGGAAGCAUCUCUCUCCUGCAUCCCAACCCCAGUGUUACCAUUGUAUUCCUGAAAGUGACUUUAUUUGAGAAGAAUCCAGGGUCUGACUUCAGAAAAGAAGGAAGAGGAAGUAUGAGGAGAGGAUAAAUUGUUUUGGGCUUUGGGUCUCUUCUGGUGUUUUUGUUUUGUGUUUGAGACAAGGUCAUGCUACAUCACUCUGGCUGUCCUGAAACUUACUGUGUAGACCAGGCUGGCCUUGAACUCACAGAGAUCCACCUGUAUUUGCAUCCCAUGUCAUGAGAUUAAAGGUUUUUGUCACCACA